rnacentral:rRNA from 1 species
AUGGCCGGCGCUGGAUCGAGCUCAUCCGUACCCAAAGAAGGAGGCUUUCACUUGAUGAGUUGCCUAAAAGAAGUUCCGACACUCAGAGGUGACAACCACACUGAGUGGAGGAAGAAUUUCAACUGGCAUUUGUUUGUGCUGAUCUGGACUGGGUUCUGGAUGAACCAUAGCUGGUCAGACCUACAGAGCCAGUAA